rnacentral:rRNA from 1 species
UACGAAGGGGGCUAGCGUUGCUCGGAAUCACUGGGCGUAAAGCGCACGUAGGCGGAUCUUUAAGUCAGGGGUGAAAUCCUGGAGCUCAACUCCAGAACUGCCUUUGAUACUGAGGAUCUUGAGUCCGGGAGAGGUGAGUGGAACUCCGAGUGUAGAGGUGAAAUUCGUAGAUAUUCGGAAGAACACCGGUGGCGAAGGCGGCUCACUGGCUCGUAACUGACGCUGAGGCGCGAAAGCGUGGGGAGCAAACAGG